AGUGGCGGACGGGUGAGUAACACGUGGGAACGUGCCCUUUGGUUCGGAACAACUCAGGGAAACUUGAGCUAAUACCGGAUGUGCCCUUCGGGGGAAAGAUUUAUCGCCAUUGGAGCGGCCCGCGUCUGAUUAGCUAGUUGGUGAGGUAAAGGCUCACCAAGGCGACGAUCAGUAGCUGGUCUGAGAGGAUGAUCAGCCACAUUGGGGCUGAGACACGGCCCAAACUCCUACGGGAGGCAGCAGUGGGGAAUCUUGCGCAAUGGGCGAAAGCCUGACGCAGCCAUGCCGCGUGAAUGAUGAAGGUCUUAGGAUUGUAAAAUUCUUUCACCGGGGACGAUAAUGACGGUACCCGGAGAAGAAGCCCCGGCUAACUUCGUGCCAGCAGCCGCGGUAAUACGAAGGGGGCUAGCGUUGCUCGGAAUUACUGGGCGUAAAGGGAGCGUAGGCGGACUGUUUAGUCGGAGGUGAAAGCCCAGGGCUCAACCUUGGAAUUGCCUUUGAUACUGGCAGUCUUGAGUACGGAAGAGGUAUGUGGAACUCCGAGUGUAGAGGUGAAAUUCGUAGAUAUUCGGAAGAACACCAGUGGCGAAGGCGACAUACUGGUCCGUUACUGACGCUGAGGCUCGAAAGCGUGGGGAGCAAACAGGAUUAGAUACCCUGGUAGUCCACGCCGUAAACGAUGAGUGCUAGUUGUCGGCA
rnacentral:rRNA from 1 species